UAACCAAAACCCUUGUCUUGCUGGAGGUGUUCACAGAAGCUAGAUGCAGAGUUGUUACCGGUCCUCCCAUCGAUUGCACCAGAAGUCGCUCUGGAUAAGUGUGUGCUAAAUGACUCAAAUGUAAUGUACAAUGUCAUUUCGAUGUCUGAAGGUGUGUCGUACUUGGCUCCCCUUGUGGUCAACGUCCAGGGCUUGGGUCUUCACCUUGGUCUCCAGCAGGGUCAGCCUCUGUAUCAUGGAGGGCAUCAGCUCAAAAUCACUAAGAAGCCAUAGAGGGGAAUACUAAAACCCCAAAGGACAAGGCAUCGGGGGCAAGCACCUUGACACUUCCGUUUUUGCUGCAGUUGGGACUGAUGGUUGCACCUGCCUUACUUCAAACUCUGCUGUAGCACUUGCUAUGCUCUCCUUCCACAAGACUCUGCAGAACUUCUGCAAGAACGGGGGCAACAACAUAACAAUAGCUUUAAUGACUAGGCCUACUAUAUUUACCUGUACUGUAGACCCUAGCUGACCCGUUUCCAUGACUGAACACCAUGAUAUUCUUAACCCAAAUGACCUUGUAAUAAUCAUACAGAAACAGAAAUAAAGUUGUGUAUCUACACUCUUCUUGAUAUUUUCUAUCUCUGUCUAAUAGAUGGAGCCAUGUGCAGACUAUGCCUAUGACAUAUUGUGGGCUAGGGAUAGGCUAGGCAUUAGCCUUGAAAACCACCCUGGUUUCUUUACCUGGCUGCCACACCCCUCCCUCAGAGCUCUGGGUCUGCUCAGCUUCCUUUACUUCCUGUUGUGUCGAGCUCCUCUCCACACCCCACCCAGACCAUGCGGUAGUCAUUCAGAAACCACUGAGUGGUUAAAAAAACUCACUGUGAGUUUAAAAAAAAAACUUUUCAGUAACAUCGGUUAACCUGUCUGGGAACCUGGGACGUUUGCGUCCCACCCUAGUCAACAGCCAGUGGAAUCGCGUCGCGCGAAAUACAAAUACCUCAUAAAUGCUAUAACUUCAAUUUCUCAAACAUAUGACUGUUUUACACCAUUUUAUAAAUACACCUCUCCAGAAUCGAACCAUGUUGUCCGAUUUCAAAAAGGCUUUACAGCAAAAGCAAAACAUUAGAUUAUGUUAGGAGAGUACCCUGCCAAAAAUAAUCACACUGCCAUUUUCAAAGCAACUAGCAUGCAUCACAAAUACCCAAAACACAGCUAAAUGCAGCACUAACCUUUGACAAUCUUCAUCAGAUGACACUCCUAGGACAUCAUGUUACACAAUACAUGCAUUUUUUGUUCGAUAAAGUUCAUAUUUAUAUAUAAAAACAGCAUUUUACAUCGACGCGUGACGUUCAGAAAAUAUUUUCCCUCAUAUGCUUCCGGUGAUCAGCGCUACAAUUUUCAAAAUUACUAUUCGAAAACAUUGGUCAAAUAUAAUAUUGUCAUUCAAAGAAUUAUCGAUUAACCUGUUGGGGGUAGGGGGCAGUAUUUGCACGGCCGGAUAAAAAACGUACCCGAUUUAAUCUGGUUAUUACUACUGCC
rnacentral:lncRNA from 1 species